UACGUAGGGUCCAAGCGUUAAUCGGAAUUACUGGGCGUAAAGGGUUCGUAGGUGGCCGGCUAAGUCAGACGUGAAAUCCCUCAGCUUAACUGGGGAACUGCGUCUGAGACUGGUCGGCUCGAGGGCAGGAGAGGAACGUGGAAUUCCAGGUGUAGCGGUGAAAUGCGUAGAUAUCUGGAGGAACACUGGUGGCGAAGGCGGCGUUCUGGACUGCAUCUGACACUGAGGAACGAAAGCCAGGGGAGCAAACGGG
rnacentral:rRNA from 1 species